rnacentral:rRNA from 1 species
GAUGAACGCUGGCGGCGUGCCUAAUACAUGCCAGUCGAGCGAACGGACGAGAAGCUUGCUUCUCUGAUGUUAGCGGCGGACGGGUGAGUAACACGUGGAUAACCUACCUAUAAGACUGGGAUAACUUCGGGAAACCGGAGCUAAUACCGGAUAAUAUUUUGAACCGCAUGGUUCAAAAGUGAAAGACGGUCUUGCUGUCACUUAUAGAUGGAUCCGCGCUGCAGUAGCUAGUUGGUAAGGUAACGGCUUACCAAGGCAACGAUGCAUAGCCGACCUGAGAGGGUGAUCGGCCACACUGGAACUGAGACACGGUCCAGACUCCUACGGGAGGCAGCAGUAGGGAAUCUUCCGCAAUGGGCGAAAGCCUGACGGAGCAACGCCGCGUGAGUGAUGAAGGUCUUCGGAUCGUAAAACUCUGUUAUUAGGGAAGAACAUAUGUGUAAGUAACUGUGCAUAUCUUGACGGUACCUAAUCAGAAAGCCACGGCUAACUACGUG